UACGAAGGGGGCUAGCGUUGUUCGGAAUCACUGGGCGUAAAGCGUACGCAGGCGGAUUGAUAAGUCAGGGGUGAAAUCCCGGGGCUCAACCUCGGAAUUGCCUUUGAUACUGUCUAUCUUCGAGUUCGGGAGAGGUUGGCGGAAUUCCUAGUGUAGAGGUGAAAUUCGUAGAUAUUAGGAAGAACACCAGUGGCGAAGGCGGCCAACUGGCCCGAUACUGACGCUCAUGUACGAAAGCGUGGGGA
rnacentral:rRNA from 1 species